rnacentral:rRNA from 1 species
AUUGAACGCUGGCGGCAGGCCUAACACAUGCAAGUCGAGCGGAUGAAGGGAGCUUGCUCCUGGAUUCAGCGGCGGACGGGUGAGUAAUGCCUAGGAAUCUGCCUGGUAGUGGGGGAUAACGUCCGGAAACGGGCGCUAAUACCGCAUACGUCCUGAGGGAGAAAGUGGGGGAUCUUCGGACUUCACGCUAUCAGAUGAGCCUAGGUCGGAUUAGCUAGUUGGUGGGGUAAAUGCCUACCAAGGCGACGAUCCGUAACUGGUCUGAGAGGAUGAUCAGUCACACUGGAACUGAGACACGGUCCAGACUCCUACGGGAGGCAGCAGUGGGGAAUAUUGGACAAUGGGCGAAAGCCUGAUCCAGCCAUGCCGCGUGUGUGAAGAAGGUCUUCGGAUUGUAAAGCACUUUAAGUUGGGAGGAAGGGCAGUAAGUUAAUACCUUGCUGUUUUGACGUUACCAACAGAAUAAGCACCGGCUAACUUCGUG